rnacentral:rRNA from 1 species
GUGGGGAAUAUUGGACAAUGGGCGCAAGCCUGAUCCAGCCAUGCCGCGUGAGUGAUGAAGGCCUUAGGGUUGUAAAGCUCUUUCACCGAUGAAGAUAAUGACGGUAGUCGGAGAAGAAGCCCCGGCUAACUUCGUGCCAGCAGCCGCGGUAAUACGAAGGGGGCUAGCGUUGUUCGGAAUUACUGGGCGUAAAGCGCACGUAGGCGGACAUUUAAGUCAGGGGUGAAAUCCCAGAGCUCAACUCUGGAACUGCCUUUGAUACUGGGUGUCUUGAGUAUGGAAGAGGUAAGUGGAAUUCCGAGUGUAGAGGUGAAAUUCGUAGAUAUUCGGAGGAACACCAGUGGCGAAGGCGGCUUACUGGUCCAUUACUGACGCUGAGGUGCGAAAGCGUGGGGAGCAAACAGGAUUAGAUACCCGAGUAGUCC